rnacentral:rRNA from 1 species
AUGGAUUAUCGGUUUGAGAAGAUGGAGAUUCUCUGGAACCACUUCAAUGACCUAAUUGGCAAAAAGAAGAUGCGCGGCUGUAGACUAAAAUAUGAUGAGCUUGGUAUUCUUGCUUCUGACCUAUCUGCAUUGGACAAUGCUUUUUCAGAAGAGGAAGUAAGGGCCGCCUUAAUGGAAAUUAACCCAAGAAAGGCGCCGGGACCGGACGGAUUCACUGCGCACUUCUUCCAGGUCUGCUGGGAGAUGAUCAAGGCCGAUAUUAUGAUGGCAAUCAAGGCGUUCGAGAACCUGAAUUCAACCUACCUGCAAUGUCUCAAUGAAGCCACAAUGAUUCUUAUUCCUAAGAGUGCAGAUGCUGAAGAGGCCAAGGACUAUAGACCAAUCAGUCUCAUUUCUUUCUUUGCAAAAUUAAUAAUGAAGAUUCUUGCUACAAGACUGCAGCCCAAGAUGAAUGACCUUGUGCUGCCCACUCAAAGUGCAUUCAUUAAAGGAAGAUCUUUGCACGACAAUUUUAUUCUUGUGCAGGGCAUGACACGGCAGCUGUACCUAAAGAAGAUCCCUGCCCUCCUAUUGAAGCUUGAUGUGCAAAAGGCCUUUGACAGUGUUUCCUGGGAGUUCCUGCUUGAAGUCCUCACUGCAAAAGGCUUUGGUCAAAAUUGGCGCAACUGGAUCUCAUUGAUCCUUGCAUCGGCAUCCACAAGGAUCCUUGUAAAUGGCGAGCUGUCAGCAACAAUCUACCAUCACAAAGGCCUGCGCCAGGGUGACCCGCUAUCGCCAUUGUUGUUUGUCCUCGUGAUUGACAUGUUGGACGCCCUAAUCCGUACUGCCGUCAGUAACCAGUUGUUCAGCCCCCUCGCUACGAACUUGCCAUCCAUCAGGGCAUCAUUCUACGCAGAUGAUGUUGUCAUGUUCAUCAAGCCCUCGAGACAUGAGAUCACUGUAACCAAGGCCAUUUUUGACACCUUUGCUGAUGCAAGUGGGCUGACGACAAACUUCCAGAAGAGCAGUAUAUGCGGCAUCCGCUGUGAGGAGAUAAACAUCGCUACACUUGCUGCCACCCUUCAAUGCCCGGUUAAAGAGUUCCCCUGCACCUACUUGGGGAUGCCGCUAGGUGUCACGAAGCUCAAAAGAAUCCAUUACCAGCCCAUUUUUGACAAGCUGCAUAAGAAGACCAAGGGGUGGAACAAGCUGCACAUGUCGAUUUCCGAUCGGGUUGCUCUGAUCAGAUCGGUCCUAUAUGCUAUCCCCACAUUCCAGUUGUUGGCGAUCGACCCAAAUCCGUGGAUGGUUAAGAAGAUUGACAAGCUCUGCCGUGGGUUCCUCUGGGCCAACAAAGAUGAAGCCCCUGGUGGGAAAUGUCUGAUAAAUUGGAAGCAGGUAUGCCUGCCUCGUGCCAUGGGCGGCCUAGGCAUGCCUAGUCUGGGAUACAAGAGCUUGGCCCUGAGAUGCAGAUGGCUUUGGUUAUCUUGGAUGGAUCGAUCCAAGCCAUGGAUUGGGCUUCCCCUGCCUGUCGACCGGACCGUGCGACAACUUUUCGAGGUGUCGGUGGACUUCUCAAUUGGGGAUGGCAUGAUCACAAAAUUCUGGACUGACCCAUGGCUGCGGCGUCAAAGUCUAUGCACAACUUACCCCGACCUUUUUGGCCAGUGCACCCUCCGGCGCAUAACCAUUGCUGCGGCUUUGCAUAAUGACAAGUGGAUGAGACAUUUCAAGGCCAACAUGACUGCUGACGCGCUCCUCCAGUUCACAAACCUAUGGCAUGACCUUCAAGCAGUGCACCUAAAUCCAGAUCAGCAGGACUCAAUCUCAUGGAGAUGGACGGCCAAUGGUGUUUACAGCGCAGCCUCUGUGAACAAAAUUCUCUUUGCAGCAACCAUCAAGCAGGACUUUGCCAAAAUGGCCUGGAACUCCGAGGCCCCGCCGAAGUGCUAG